UACGUAGGGGGCGAGCGUUGUCCGGAUUUAUUGGGCGUAAAGAGCGUGUAGGCGGUUCGGUAAGUCUGUCGUGAAAUCCUGAGGCUCAACCUCGGGCGUGCGAUGGAUACUGCCGGGCUAGAGGGUGGUAGAGGCGAGUGGAAUUCCCGGUGUAGCGGUGAAAUUCGUAGAUAUUAGGAAGAACACCAGUGGCGAAGGCGGCUCACUGGCCCGGUACUGACGCUGAGGCGCGAAAGCGUGGGGAGCAAACAGG
rnacentral:rRNA from 1 species